AUGAAGCUGCAGGCCCAGUUAUUGGAACAACACAAAAUAUUAGAUAACAAAGCUAAGGAUCGUAGGCCUAACACGUAAUGAUUCUAUUUAUUUGCUUUUAUUCAUUCGUGUUUUGUAGCUCAAAUUUUGAGUCUUCAAGCUCAGCUAGGGGAAAAGAACAAAUUGGAACGGAACAGUUUCCAAACAGUGAAGGAGGUUUUUCAAAAUUCAUCUCUAACUGAACAUGAGGAUGAGUUGGCAUUAGGUGAACACAGCCAGUUAUUCAGUCCACCACAUGACAGUGUGUUAAAUUUAAAUUCUGUUAGUGCUGCACUAAAAGAAUCGUUAGUAAUAAGCUCAUGCAGUGAAGGAACUGAACAAUUGUGGGAACGUAUUUGGGCCGAAAAUGGGUGUGGUACAGAAACCCAGAAAUGGCACAAGUUCAACAUGAAACAUGGAUUAGAUUUUAACGGGGGAUCAAAUCAAGUCUGGAAGUGUUACAGGAUGGAAGAGUGAGCCUACAGAUGAAAAAACACUGAGAGUGCAUUACCGUAAGGUGUGAGUACAACAGCAAUCCUUUAUAGUUCUGUCACAGCUAGAAGCCUCAAAUAAUUCUGCUUCUCUGUCUAAAGAACAACUUGUCCUUUAUGUUCAGAGUGUUGGGGAAACUGGGUACUUAAAUGGCCCUAAAGAUGUUUUAAUUUUGCUGCUAUUGCAGAGAUGAACAUCAUACAUGGACUCUUUAGGUCUUAUCUACCAAAAAAAAUUUUAUCCAAUAGGAAAGGAUUUUCAUGUACUGGGAACACAACUAUCAACAAUGCAACAUUCUACAGGUGCUAGUUUAUCAUUCAAGAGCCUUAUACAAUGAAGUUAAUCUGCAAUUUGUAUGUCCUUUCCCAAGCUUCCACCAGAAGUUGAAUCUAUGAGUCAUGUAAGUUCCAUGAUCAACAAUUGAUGUGUUUAACGGUGUUGUUUUUCUUUUCUCAAUAUAGGUUAAUAGUAACAUUGGAUCUGAAAAGAUUCUUGGUUGGGGCAAGACACUGAAUAAAUUGUAUUGAUUGGAUGGAUGACAUGACAUUGCUAUACUUAAUUCGGAUUCCCCAGACGGUAUUUGAUAUUAAAAAAAUUGAAGUGCAUAUCUGGGCUCCCUUCUUUUCUGAAGCCCCGUUUCCCCUUGACUCAUAAUAAGCCCGUAGGGGGUCAUGCCCCUACUGUACGGUAUAUAUAAAAACAACAUAUACCGAGGUUUGGAGGGCUCUGGCCGGAAAGGGGACGUGGGGUGCCGCUUCGUCCGAUGAUGUGUUCACGGAGGGUGACGUGGCUGCCCACAAAUCCGAACUAAAGGUUAAUCGCUCCUGUAAAAAUGUUCCAAAUCUUCAGCUCUU